CUCUUAUCCUGAGUGGUGGAGGGACAUGGACCCAAGGAAGCCCAGCAACCUCUUCUCAAGUGUGAAGAAAGGUGCCAAACCGUUUGCAGACGCAAGUGUCUGAACGAUAAGAG
rnacentral:ncRNA from 2 species